AUUAUUCCUCAAAAAUACAACUUGCCUAAUAAUUCUGCACUCCCUGUAUAUCCCGCACGUGCUUCAAAUUAUACCGCGAAAUGGACUUCAGGCCAUAUUGCCCAGCCCUAAAAUGGCUUCAAAAGCACAUUCAGGCCUAUGUGACUCAUUCAGACACUGAGCCGUGGCUCUGUGCUACAUGCACACAUUUCUCCAUCUCUGACAUUGAAACGCCUUUCAUAUAUAGUUUACUACUACUGAACUGUACAUUUAGUCAUUUUAAAGGCAGCAAUUUUUAUUCAGUGUUUUUGUGAAAGCCUUUUUUAUCCAUUUACUGCUAUUAGGAAGACCACACAUGAGGGUUAAGGCCUGGAAAAGUUUGAAACCCUUUGUCCUCCAAAAUGAAAAAUGGGUGACAAUAAAAAUGGGUAUCACUUUAGCCAGCUCCCAAUUUUAUGGACUCUACUCUCAGCUUCUCCUAUAUAUCUCCUAUAUGAAAUCUGCACUCAGCUUUGUGGUCUCCAAUAUCACUAAAAUUCAGCCAGAUGCUGCUCAUUUUGCGUUUUUCACUCUUUCCUAACAGAUUUGCAUUUAAAUACGGCUCCCCAUUUCUCUGUGUACCUGGUCUCUACCACUACACUUAAUGUCUAUGGAACAUUUUGGUCUUCUUUCACAUAAUGGUAUGAUCCCAGUCUGUCUCUUAAAGUGUUUGGCCACAUGGUUUGCUCAUCAGAAUAAAAUCUCAGCUGUGCUCACAUUGAUUAUCAGCAAGCCUGAAAAUUCAUCAAUAGUUGACAUAUGAAUUAUCUCAAGGGCUGGAUUUGGCCCACGGGCCAUAUGUUUGACACCCCUGGUUUACACAGUUUGGUAUUCAAUGUACAAGUGAGUUAACUCUCAGCUAACUAGCAAACCAGCUAACAGCAGCCACAAGCUGCGACUGCGUCUUUCUAACAAGAGCGUCAGACACUCAGACUGGUUUGCUUUGUGGAUGAUGAUGUAUUCUCACACUGAUCCUUCAUGCUGAUGCUGCCAUCCACCCACUGCUCCUGCAUUCUUCAUCAUCAUCUCCAUCAGCUCUGACAAUACUCCACCUUCAUCAGCUUCAUGUACAGGAGCUGGAUGGACAGUAAUUCUUUCCAUGGGUUAUGGUGGGACAUUGAGAGCUGAAGUCAAACAGCAGUGAGAAAUGAAAGACUGUUUCUAUUUAGUCUUGUGAUGUGCAGCUUUGUUCAGAGCAUUAAGGCCCAGCAAAGAUUACUGAGGUCACAGAGUCACUGAUGAAACCUGUGUGCUUAUAGAAACUGAAACCAGAUGAACCAGAAUAGAAGGACAUUAAAAUGAAGUGUCAGCUACACAAAGGCAAAGCUGUUCAGUUGUUGGUGUGAGUUAUUUAAAUGGAGGAUGGAGUCAGACUUUAAGCUGCUGGACUCAGUCACUAUAUCCUGUUCUCCUCAUAGAAUCUGGAUACACAGACUCACCUGUGACACAGUGACACACAGUGUGGGCUACACACACAUUAGAAAGUGGAUCAGUCACACUUGUGCAAUCAUUUGUAGUGCUGGGAAACCAUGAAGACUUUGAAUCACCAUUAAUGGCAUUUUUACAGCAGGAUUCAAUCAUGAACUGAAAAGUAGUGUAUUGUGUCCUUAUUGUAUUAGUACUGCAGUAUGAGAAGUGCAACAUUCAGUGUGCAGAUGUGAAACAAAUCAGGUGCUUUCUAACAGCAAUGUUCCCUUUAACACAGUAGCAGUUCAAAUAUUUCUGUCAGUCUGAGCUGAAACAUGAAUCUAAUCAAAUCAAAUAUCAAAUCAAAGUUCUUUGCCUCUGCCAGGACGUCAACAUUUGAUCUAGUUUGUUCCAAACAAAGUUCCCCUCAGAGUCCAGAGCCACCAUCACAACAUUAUAACAGGCACCUUUGAUCAACAGCAAGUGAACAUUUAUAAAUGUGUGUUUUCAGAACAGGAACCAGCAGAACUAUUUUUCUGUUAUCAGGUAGCAGCACAAACGCUCAUCAGCUCAUUUACUGUGCAGGACUUUGAGUGUGUGAAGUGUGUGUUUGUGCUGGAUUUCCUUUGGAGGAUCUCAGUCAGAAACAAGGCAAAGAAAAACUCUUUCAGUCGUCCAGGUUGAGUUGACAACAUGAACUGCAUUUGUCUUCCUCUGACUUGACAUGUUCUUCCUCCUCUGCACCGAGCCAGCUGCUAAGACUCACAAGCUCAAUGAUGUUUUCUGAUGAUACAGAAACUCUCUUCUUCUGUACAAUAUGAGCAGCAACAGAGAACAAGCUUUCACAGAUACAGAUGUUGCAGCUGUGACCAAGUACAUGUGCUGCAUGUUUGGAGCAGCACUCUAAUGGACAGGCCUCUGUACUGAUGGUGGGCUCUGCUCUGUAUCCACCACACUGUUCUCAGCUGAGUCUUCCUCCUGUUCACAGUCACACUCUGAUGAAGCACCAAUAGGGCCAACUUUUUCUCUGGUGGCUCGGAUGUUGUUGCUUCCACAGGUUUCCCUCCAACAACCCUCUGUUCCUUCAGUCUGUUCUGAAUGUAGACUUGAAUUUGACCACGUAGGCGGGGUCAUCAUCUGAGCUCUCCAUCACCUGAGAGAGACGACAAAACACAGAAUCACAGAGCAUGAAACCAACUUUUCUCCUCCCAGAAGUUCAGUCACAGACCUGCAACAGAAACAAGAAUCAAAGAUUCAAAUGACGUAGAGCAUUCAUUUACUUAUAUACACAAACAUGUCCUCUACAUAUUCAUGCUGUAUUUACACACACAUACAGAGGCUGUUUGUCUCUCACACACAGACAGGACACUGAGAAAUACAUCAUGUUAAAUAUACCUGCAGGGUACCUGUGUUAGCUGUGGUUGCCAUAGCAACCUAGGUGUUGUGUGUGGUGAGGAUGUCCCUGAGUGGCUGCUUUGAAGAUCAGCUUCAAACUUUCCUUUUUGAUAAAGCUUAUAGUUCGAGCUGGAUCAGGUGACCCUGAACCAUCCCUGAUGCUCUGUUUUC